GUUAUUUUAAGCUUAAUCACAGUUACCACGCUGGCCGCAGUAUCAGGUAUAGCAUUACAUACCUCUCUGCAAACCAAACAUUUUGUGGAAAAUUGGCACCGUGACUCUCGGGAUCUUUGGCUUUCACAAACUAUGAUUGAUACUCGCUUGCAAACACAAAUAGAUGUCCUUAGGCAGACAGUGGGCUGGUUAGGGAAGAAGGUAUUGACACUAGAGAGGCAAAUUUGGCUUCGUUGCGAUUGGAAUUCUACGACUUUUUGUGUUACCAAUUUAAAAUAUAAUAAGUCACAGCAUGAUUGGAGCGUUAUCCAAAGAUACUUAGAAGGUAAUUCAUCGGCGGUUGACAUGAUCAAUAAUCUGCACACAAAUAUUCAGGAGAUCUUUGGUAGACCAUUUGAGACCGAAGAUGCUGCCACUUUGGCAGACUUGUUCCUUAAACAACUUGAGGGAUUAGACCCAAAAGGUAUCAUUCAGAGUUUAGGGCAUACUGCUGGAGGAAUGGGCAUUGUGUUGCUAGUUGUUAUCUUAUGCUUUACGCUGCUACAUUUCUGCUAUAUAAAACCGUCCCAGAAUUCUAUGGCCACCCUCUGGAAGGCAAUUUUAUUAAAACAAAAGAAAAAAGGGGGAAAUGAGAUGGCAUAGGCUUGCAGGCCCCUUGCGAGCCAGGGUCAUUCAAGGACUGCAGUGAGAGUUAGGAAAGCCAGGCAAACCUGAGCAAGGAGGAGAAAAUGUUCUCUUCCCCUUAUCUCAUGUUGCAAGUUCUGAAUGCCUGGAUCUGCAAGAAGUGGCUCUUGCCUAGAUUAGAGGCGUCCCUCCUUAGGACAAGAACAUGCUGUCUCCAGAGGAAGGGUGGCUGAGAGAAUUCUUUAAUUCUGCAAAAAUAAA